UAAGAAACAAGGGCCAUUUACACUAUCAUUUGGUGGCGUUUGGCGUGUGGUGUGGGGUUGGUGGUCAUCAUGUCAGUUAAUAAUCCGACACCUGGGAGUGUGGAUCAGGGUUUCUUAUCAAAAGUGCGAGAUGAAGAUGUACCGAAAAUGCUUUUCCUCUCUGUCAAUCCUAACAAGAUUGAAGAGCAAGGCACCACCAGCGCGGCUUCUGGGUAUACUGACGGCGUCAGCAUUGGCAAGAAAGUCGUGGUGUCAGAGUUCCGCUCAGAAGAAACGUCAGAUUCCGUCACACGAUUGAUAGAGAAAUUUGAGAAAUCACUGAGCGAGAAGAGCAUCACCCCAGUCCGUCGGGAACUGCAACUCCGCAUCCUCAAACUCAGCAGUGUGGAGCUGAACACCAACACCCUCAGCACCCUGGAGAGCAACUUCUCCGACGAGAACGACCAGCUGAGCAAUGACGAGGAAGACAUUCUGGAAUUCACCGAAAUCUUCGAGAUGUUCAACUUAUCCGCGCCCGAGAACAUCAAAGUCAACUUCGGGAAUAUCAUUUCGAGCAAGAAGAUCCCGCUGAAGAGAGGCGACAUCGGGAACUACAGCAAGAAGACGUUCUUCGUGUACGCGGAGAACAAGAUCAUGAUGAAAAUCUGCGACUCCCUCUCUCCUCUGGACGUCUAUCGCCUCUACGAGAUCAUCAGGGAGUCGAAGGCCACCGAGAAUGAUGACAAAGUGAAGGACCUCUUGUCUCAGCAGAUCGAUCAAAGGGCGCUGGAGAAAGUGCGUGGCCUGAAGGACGUCGCUUUUUACUACCUCACGCUCACGAUGAUGAGGAAACAGCUCCUCAACCGCCUGUACACUCACAGACUCGCUUUCCUCUUCGACCAGCUGAAGGAAAUGAAGAGCGGAAAAGACCCCAACAUCGACCGCAUUCUGGACACCCUCAACCGAUACCCUGUGGCUUCUCGACCCCCGGGGCUGUGCAUUGUGUUCAACAUGUUGCAGAACCGAGAAGGGGCGGCCAAGGACCUCACCAAAGUGAAGGAACUGUUUGAGAAGGAAUAUAAGUACGAUGUCUUCGUGAAAGUUGACCCCACAGCUGAAGAAAUAAAGACUAUUGUCAGCAAACUGAAGGCAGCAAGGAACAAGUUUUACGACAGCUUGGUCGUGUGGUUCAUGGGUCACGGUGACAAAACUUACCUCACAGUGAAGAAUGAACAGCGUAUUCACCGGCGCACCGACCUCAUCCAACCAUUCACGGAAAUUGAGUGGUUUAACAAGAAGCCCAAACUUUUCUUCAUACAGGCGUGCGCUGUGAAGAAAGACCGAAAGAGGUUCUCGUCAACGUCGCAGCCCAAAGAACUGCAAGGUCUCCAGGCAUCCACGGACUCCAUCGGUUGGCGUGCCCGGCCAGUAGCGAGUGGCAGGAUAAGUACGCGAGCUACACCGACGUCUCACAAGUGAACUCCUUCGCUGACACGCUCAUCUCCUAUGCGACUAUGUGGUACCAGUACGCUUCCAGAGGCGAGGAAGGUUCACUCUAUGUUGACACACUGGUGGACCAGCUGAGGCAAUACGGAUGCAGGGAGAGUGUAGAAAAUGUUCUUCGUCGUGUUCAUUACAACGUGAACACAGUGGCUCUCUUGCACAGUGAACAUGGCCAGGACAUUACGUGGAAGCAGGCACCUUACUUUGAAUCCUCACUACAAAAGGCUUUCAUAUUCCCUAAGCCUGAAAAACCAGCGGCUGGCGUGGGUCAAUAAAUUGGAGGGAUUUAUAACGAUACAGAACAGAUAUAUAUAUAAGCACACUUAGAGUUAUAACCUCCCAUGAACAUAUAUAUAACCAUGCACUAUGCAACCAUAAAGAUGUAUGUAUACUUCUACAAACUUAGUUGAGGGAGGGAAGGGGCAAAGGUCUUAAGAUAAGAAAUGUGUUGUCUAGAUUUAAGUACCUUACAUUGUUACUUUUUUAUAUAUUAUCAUUCAUUCCAUGACAGGCUGUAAAAGUUUCUUCAUUAAAAUUACAUGUUAU